rnacentral:rRNA from 1 species
UACAGAGGUCCCGAGCGUUGUUCGGAUUUAUUGGGCGUAAAGGGUGCGUAGGCGGCGGAGUAAGUUGGGUGUGAAAUCCCGGGGCUCAACCUCGGAAUGGCAUUCAAUACUGCUUCGCUAGAGUACUGGAGAGGAGGCUGGAAUUUACGGUGUAGCAGUGAAAUGCGUAGAUAUCUGGAGGAAUACCGGUGGCGAAGGCGGCAUCCUGGACCGGCAUUGACGCUGAGGCGCGAAAGCGUGGGGAGCAAACGGG